rnacentral:rRNA from 1 species
CCACACCUAAAAAACUUUCCACGUGUGACCGUUUCAACCCAAUAGUUGGGGGUCUUAUUUGGCGGCGGCUGCUGGCUUAAUUGUUGGCGGCUGCUGCUGAGUGAGCCCUAUCAAAAAAAAAGGCGAACGUUUGGGCUUCGGCCUGAUUUAGUAGUCUUUUUUCUUUUAAACCCAUUCCUUAAUACUGAAUAUACUGUGGGGACGAAAGUCUCUGCUUUUAACUAGAUAGCAACUUUCAGCAGUGGAUGUCUAGGCUCGCACAUCGAUGAAGAACGCUGCGAACUGCGAUACGUAAUGCGAAUUGCAGGAUUCAGUGAGUCAUCGAAAUUUUGAACGCAUAUUGCACUUCCGGGUUAGUCCUGGAAGUAUGCCUGUAUCAGUGUCCGUACAUUAAACUUGACUUUCUUCCUUCCGUGUAGUCGGUGGAGGAGAUGUCAGAUGUGAAGUGUCUUGCGAUUGGUCUUCGGACCGGCUGCGAGUCCUUUUAAAUGUACUAAACUGAACUUCUCUUUGCUCGAAAAGUGGUGGCGUUGCUGGUUGUGAAGGCUGCUAUUGUGGCAAAUUGGCGACUGGUUUGUCUGCUGCGGCAUUAAUGGAAGAGUGUUCGAUUCGUGGUAUGGUUGGCUUCGGCUGAACAAUGCACUUAUUGGACGUUUUUCCUGCUGUGGCGUGAUGGACUGGUGAACCAUAGCUCGGUGGCUUGGCUUUUGAAUUGGCUUUGCUGUUGCGAAGUAGGGUGGCAGCUUCGGUUGUCGAGGGUCGAUCCAUUUGGGAACUUAAUGUGUACUUCGGUAUGCAUCUCAA